rnacentral:rRNA from 1 species
GAUGAACGCUGGCGGCGUGCCUAAUACAUGCAAGUCGAGCGAACGGACGAGAAGCUUGCUUCUCUGAUGUUAGCGGCGGACGGGUGAGUAACACGUGGAUAACCUACCUAUAAGACUGGGAUAACUUCGGGAAACCGGAGCUAAUACCGGAUAAUAUUUUGAACCGCAUGGUUCAAAAGUGAAAGACGGUCUUGCUGUCACUUCUAGAUGGAUCCGCGCUGCAUUAGCUAGUUGGUAAGGUAACGGCUUACCAAGGCAACGAUGCAUAGCCGACCUGAGAGGGUGGUCGGCCACGCUGGAACUGAGACACGGUCCAGACUCCUACGGAAGGCAGCAGUAGGGAAUCUUCGGCAAUGGGCAAAAGCCUGACGGAGCAACGCCGCGUGAGUGAUGAAGGUCUUCGGAUCGUAAAACUCUGUUAUUAGGGAAGAACGUAUGUGUAAGUAACGGUGCACAUCUUGACGGUACCUAAUCAGAAAGCCACGGCUAACUACGUG